rnacentral:rRNA from 1 species
UUAGAAAUCUUGCGCAAUGGGCGAAAGCCUGACGCAGCGACGUCGCGUGGGGGAGGAAGGCUUUCGGGUUGUAAACCCCUUUUGUCGAGGAAGAAACAAAUGACGGUACUCGACGAAUAAGCCCCGGCUAACUCCGUGCCAGCAGCCGCGGUAAUACGGAGGGGGCGAGCGUUGUCCGAAGUUACUGGGCGUAAAGCGCGCGUAGGCGGGUUGGUAAGUCCGCUGUGAAAGCCCGGGGCUCAACUCCGGAGGGUCGGUGGAUACUGCCAGUCUUGAAGGUGCUAGGGGGAGAUGGAAUUACCGGUGUAGCGGUGAAAUGCGUAGAUAUCGGUAGGAACACCAGUGGCGAAGGCGGUCUCCUGGGGCAUUCUUGACGCUGAGGCGCGAAAGCUGGGGGAGCAAAC